rnacentral:rRNA from 1 species
GAUGAACGCUGGCGGCGUGCUUAACACAUGCAAGUCGAACGAAGAUGCCGGAGUGCUUGCACUUUGGCAGACUGAGUGGCGGACGGGUGAGUAACGCGUGGGUAACCUGCCUUAUACAGGGGGAUAACAGUUGGAAACGACUGCUAAUACCGCAUAAGCGCACGGUAUCGCAUGAUACAGUGUGAAAAACUCCGGUGGUAUAAGAUGGACCCGCGUCUGAUUAGCUUGUUGGUGAGGUAACGGCCCACCAAGGCGACGAUCAGUAGCCGGCCUGAGACGGGUGAACGGCCACAUUGGGACUGAGACACGGCCC